rnacentral:lncRNA from 1 species
UUCAAGAACAUCCAGGCCAACAUCACAGAGAUGCUGGCAGGAGGGGUGGACACGACCUCCAUGACUCUGCAAUGGAACCUUUAUGAAAUGGCACACAACUUGAAGGUACAGGAGAUGCUGCGGGCUGAAGUUCUAGCUGCCCGGCGCCAGGCCCAGGGAGACAUGGCCAAGAUGGACCAAGUUCAACCUCAUCCUGAUGCCUGAGAAGCCUAUCUUCUUCAACUUCCAGCCUCUCAAGCAGGACCUGGGCUCAACUAUGCCCAGAAAAGGCGACACUGUAUGAAUUGCAGGCUGCAGUCACACGGGGAGAUGUCUCACUGGGGCAUUUGAGGGUGGUGUCUCUAUAUCUCCAGAAACAGCACUCUGUGAUUACCUGUCCACGUUAGCUGGGCCCUCCUCUCUUUCAUCCUGUCUCCCUUUCUACUUACUCAGGAGGUUAAUAAACACAUAAAUGCUGGGAA